GGUUAAGCGACUAAGCGUACACGGUGGAUGCCCUGGCAGUCAGAGGCGAUGAAGGACGUGCUAAUCUGCGAAAAGCGACGGCGAGGUGAUAUGAACCCUUGACCCGUCGAUGUCCGAAUGGGGAAACCCAGUGCAAUCCGUUGCACUAUCGUUAACUGAAUACAUAGGUUAACGAGGCGAACCGGGGGAACUGAAACAUCUAAGUACCCCGAGGAAAAGAAAUCAACCGAGAUUCCCCCAGUAGCGGCGAGCGAACGGGGAGCAGCCCGGAGUCUGAAUCAGCUUGUGUGUUAGUGGAACGGUCUGGAAAGUCCGACGGUACAGGGUGAUAGUCCCGUACACGAAAGCACACUUGCUGUGAACUCGAAGAGUAGGGCGGGACACGUGGUAUCCUGUCUGAAUAUGGGGGGACCAUCCUCCAAGGCUAAAUACUCCUGACUGACCGAUAGUGAACCAGUACCGUGAGGGAAAGGCGAAAAGAACCCCGGCGAGGGGAGUGAAAAAGAACCUGAAACCGUGUACGUACAAGCAGUGGGAGCCUCUUUUAUGGGGUGACUGCGUACCUUUUGUAUAAUGGGUCAGCGACUUAUAUUCUGUAGCAAGGUUAACCGUAUAGGGGAGCCGAAGGGAAACCGAGUCUUAACUGGGCGUUAAGUUGCAGGGUAUAGACCCGAAACCCGGUGAUCUAGCCAUGGGCAGGUUGAAGGUUGGGUAACACUAACUGGAGGACCGAACCGACUAAUGUUGAAAAAUUAGCGGAUGACCUGUGGCUGGGGGUGAAAGGCCAAUCAAACCGGGAGAUAGCUGGUUCUCCCCGAAAGCUAUUUAGGUAGCGCCUCGUGAACUCAUCUUCGGGGGUAGAGCACUGUUUCGGCUAGGGGGCCAUCCCGGCUUACCAACCCGAUGCAAACUACGAAUACCGAAGAAUGUUAUCACGGGAGACACACGGCGGGUGCUAACGUCCGUCGUGAAGAGGGAAACAACCCAGACCGCCAGCUAAGGUCCCAAAGUCAUGGUUAAGUGGGAAACGAUGUGGGAAGGCACAGACAGCCAGGAUGUUGGCUUAGAAGCAGCCAUCAUUUAAAGAAAGCGUAAUAGCUCACUGGUCGAGUCGGCCUGCGCGGAAGAUGUAACGGGGCUAAACCAUGCACCGAAGCUGCGGCAGCGACACUAUGUGUUGUUGGGUAGGGGAGCGUUCUGUAAGCCGUCGAAGGUGUGCCGUGAGGCAUGCUGGAGGUAUCAGAAGUGCGAAUGCUGACAUAAGUAACGAUAAAGCGGGUGAAAAGCCCGCUCGCCGGAAGACCAAGGGUUCCUGUCCAACGUUAAUCGGGGCAGGGUGAGUCGACCCCUAAGGCGAGGCCGAAAGGCGUAGUCGAUGGGAAACAGGUUAAUAUUCCUGUACUUGGUGUUACUGCGAAGGGGGGACGGAGAAGGCUAUGUUAGCCGGGCGACGGUUGUCCCGGUUUAAGCAUGUAGGCGGAGGUUCCAGGUAAAUCCGGUACCUUUUUAACGCUGAGGUGUGAUGACGAGGCACUACGGUGCUGAAGUAACAAAUGCCCUGCUUCCAGGAAAAGCCUCUAAGCAUCAGGUAACACGAAAUCGUACCCCAAACCGACACAGGUGGUCAGGUAGAGAAUACCAAGGCGCUUGAGAGAACUCGGGUGAAGGAACUAGGCAAAAUGGUGCCGUAACUUCGGGAGAAGGCACGCUGAUAUGUAGGUGAAGUCCCUGCGGAUGGAGCUGAAAUCAGUCGAAGAUACCAGCUGGCUGCAACUGUUUAUUAAAAACACAGCACUGUGCAAACACGAAAGUGGACGUAUACGGUGUGACGCCUGCCCGGUGCCGGAAGGUUAAUUGAUGGGGUUAGCGGCAACGCGAAGCUCUUGAUCGAAGCCCCGGUAAACGGCGGCCGUAACUAUAACGGUCCUAAGGUAGCGAAAUUCCUUGUCGGGUAAGUUCCGACCUGCACGAAUGGCGUAAUGAUGGCCAGGCUGUCUCCACCCGAGACUCAGUGAAAUUGAACUCGCUGUGAAGAUGCAGUGUACCCGCGGCAAGACGGAAAGACCCCGUGAACCUUUACUAUAGCUUGACACUGAACACUGGUCCUUGAUGUGUAGGAUAGGUGGGAGGCUUUGAAGCGUGGACGCCAGUCUGCGUGGAGCCGUCCUUGAAAUACCACCCUUUAAUGGCUGGUGUUCUAACGUGGACCCGUUACCCGGGUUGCGGACAGUGUCUGGUGGGUAGUUUGACUGGGGCGGUCUCCUCCCAAAGAGUAACGGAGGAGCACGAAGGUUAGCUAAUCCUGGUCGGACAUCAGGAGGUUAGUGCAAUGGCAUAAGCUAGCUUGACUGCGAGAGUGACGGCUCGAGCAGGUGCGAAAGCAGGUCAUAGUGAUCCGGUGGUUCUGAAUGGAAGGGCCAUCGCUCAACGGAUAAAAGGUACUCCGGGGAUAACAGGCUGAUACCGCCCAAGAGUUCAUAUCGACGGCGGUGUUUGGCACCUCGAUGUCGGCUCAUCACAUCCUGGGGCUGAAGUAGGUCCCAAGGGUAUGGCUGUUCGCCAUUUAAAGUGGUACGCGAGCUGGGUUUAGAACGUCGUGAGACAGUUCGGUCCCUAUCUGCCGUGGGCGCUGGAGAAUUGAGGGGGGCUGCUCCUAGUACGAGAGGACCGGAGUGGACGCAUCACUGGUGUUCGGGUUGUCAUGCCAAUGGCACUGCCCGGUAGCUAAAUGCGGAAGAGAUAAGUGCUGAAAGCAUCUAAGCACGAAACUUGCCCCGAGAUGAGUUCUCCCUGAGACUUUAAGUCUCCUGAAGGAACGUUGAAGACGACGACGUUGAUAGGUCGGGUGUGUAAGCGCAGCGAUGCGUUGAGCUAACCGAUACUAAUGAACCGUGAGGCUUAACCUU
rnacentral:rRNA from 1 species